AGAGGAUUCCUCUUUCUCACUCACGGCGGGCUGGCCGGGGUCAGACGUCUGAGUCGUGGAGCUUGGAGAGAGGGGCCACCUGUCCUCACCCUCCUCACCCUUCCACUGACCCCAGACCCUGAACAGGGCAGGGGCCCCUGGCAUGUGGCGUCUGCAAGCAGGGGGCUUGUCUGGGACACAGAGAGGGGGCAGAGAGCACAGGGGGCGUCAGUGGCUCCAGCACAGAUGGGCACGGCCCCUCUGGAGCCCACAGCCUGCGCCGGUGUCCGGGCAGCAGCCCUGAAUGUCACGCUCGAGCUGAACGCGCAGGUCCUGGAAUCUUCUGAGGUCCCGGCAGAGCUGAGAGGAGCAGACAGUGCCUCAGGCCUCCCCGCGGGGCAGCAGAAGCCCCUCCACCCUCUGGGCGUCCUGGGAGCUCUGUGGCCUGAUUGGAGCUUGCUGCUCAGAGCUUCGCGUUCUCUCCAACGAAAGCAAACCCGCUCUUUCCUCACGUCCCUGGACAAGCAUUUGUCACAGAAACUGCCUCGGGGCAAGCGGCUCUGGGGGAACGAGCUAUGUUCUGGCCACCCGCUGGCGCUGCCCAUCCUGGCCAGGCCAGCAGGCGGCAGGGAGGCGUCCAGCGCCUGCCUGCAUCCAGUGCCCCAUGGUCUCUUCAAAUCCCCUACCCAGAGGGAAGAAGAAAACCCGUCCAGCUGAGUGGGUGAUCCUUCCAAGACUCUCUGCAGGGGCUGUCGCUGGCACCCCUGCUGCCCGCGCAUUCAGACUGUCCCGCGGGGCUGAGUGCACGUGGAACUGGGGUGCAUCCGAGUCUGUAACUUCUGAAACCCGAAUGACCUCCGGGAAACCCCCCCUCUCAGUGCUCCAGCACGGUGCCUAGACAAGGGCACGGCGACAGACCCCGGACCGCACGGCCCCCUCCCCGAGAUGGUCCCCGCAGAGGAAGUGGCGCUCAUGGUGCUUCUUGCCGGUGACAUGUUCAUUGCCGUCCUCGCCACUGCCUGAGGGUGGGAACAGACCCAGGCCUGGGUUUUAUUUUUUUAUUUUUAUGUUUUGAGGGGGCGGGGAUUUAUUCUUUCUGAAAAAUGCUAAAUUCAGGAACACAUUUACAAGGAUUUUGGAUUUGUAUUUCCCUCUAAGUGCCUUUUUUUCGUGUAUAUUUUUAAAAAAAUAAGCCAGAAAUGCCUUCCUGUACAAUUCUGUUUAAACUGGACCAAGGCUCUCAGAAAAAGAACCUCGAGCUCCCUUCCACCCCCAAGCCCCUGCAUGAUUGUUUCAAGGAAGCCUGGAAUUCUUCUCACUUCUCCCCUUUCUCUUUCUCCAUGAUUUGCUCAGCUAACCUUUUUUUUUUUUUUUUCUGUUUCAGUGUAUAUGUUGCUUAUUUGUUUUAUUUAUUGAGAUAUUUUUAACAAGCUCAGUGACUGCAACGUGGCUGUGUAUACUCCUCCCUCCCAGGAACAAUAAAGACGUCUUUGCA